AUGUGUGCUGCUGAGGAGGAUGUACAGGGGCACCUGCAGCCAAAUCCAAGCCUCCUCAGCAACUUCAAGUCUGUCAGCGUGCUGAGGUCACAGAAACAAGAAAAGCAGCUUGACACUUCAGAGUGUUGUUUACAGUUUUCUGUCAUCAUGAUCUCCCCUGAAGUUUAUCACUAUUAUACAAGCAAUGGUGACGGUGUGGAGAGACGGUGGUGUUUCCUCAGAAGAACCAGCAGAGUCACAAAGGACACGAGUCCAUCUCACCACCUUGACUUGCUGACUGAUGCUCGUCUGCACUGCACAGAGGAAAUCAACUGACCGAGGUUUGUUUCUGAGUGAGGGAGAGAGGAGUCAUCAUCCAGGUAAAGUGACGUGGAUCAGUGGAUACACUUGUCUCCCCUUUAAAGGAGACACUCUUAGAGAGAGACGAUCCGGGUCAUCAUAAAAUGUUAGUGCUUUCAAAUACACAAACAUUUUUAAAGGACAAAAUCGAACAUCCCACUUUGACUGUAAUACAAUUAAAUCUUUGCAUGUGUGUUUUCAAACUCUCAGAUGGGAAGGAUAUCAAUCUUGGACUGUCUAACCUGCAGGAGCAGCACUGAAUAACCACCACACAUGAGCAUGUUCCUGCAACAUUCAGCAGCAUUGCUUUUG
rnacentral:lncRNA from 1 species